UACAGAGGGGGCAAGCGUUGUUCGGAAUUACUGGGCGUAAAGGGCGCGUAGGCGGCCUUCUAAGUCGAACGUGAAAUCCCCGGGCUCAACCCGGGAACUGCGUCCGAUACUGGAAGGCUUGAAUCCGGGAGAGGGAUGCGGAAUUCCAGGUGUAGCGGUGAAAUGCGUAGAUAUCUGGAGGAACACCGGUGGCGAAGGCGGCUGGCUGGACCGCAACUGACGCUGAGGAACGAAAGCUAGGGGAGCAAACAGG
rnacentral:rRNA from 1 species